GUGUCUUCGAGUCGUUGAUUUCACACUGCCGAGAAAAGCCUCUAGAUAGAAAAUAGGUGCCCGUACCGCAAACCGACACAGGUAGUCAAGAUGAGAAUUCUAAGGUGAGCGAGCGAACUCUCGUUAAGGAACUCGGCAAAAUGACCCCGUAACUUCGGGAGAAGGGGUGCUCUUUAGGGUUAACGCCCAGAAGAGCCGCAGUGAAUAGGCCCAAGCGACUGUUUAUCAAAAACACAGGUCUCUGCUAAACCGUAAGGUGAUGUAUAGGGGCUGACGCCUGCCCGGUGCUGGAAGGUUAAGAGGAGUGGUUAGCUUCUGCGAAGCUACGAAUCGAAGCCCCAGUAAACGGCGGCCGUAACUAUAACGGUCCUAAGGUAGCGAAAUUCCUUGUCGGGUAAGUUCCGACCCGCACGAAAGGCGUAACGAUUUGGGCACUGUCUCAACGAGAGACUCGGUGAAAUCAUAGUACCUGUGAAGAUGCAGGUUACCCGCGACAGGACGGAAAGACCCCGUGGAGCUUUACUGUAGCCUGAUAUUGAAAUUCGGCACAGCUUGUACAGGAUAGGUAGGAGCCUUUGAAACGUGAGCGCUAGCUUACGUGGAGGCGCUGGUGGGAUACUACCCUAGCUGUGUUGGCUUUCUAACCCGCACCACUUAUCGUGGUGGGAGACAGUGUCAGGCGGGCAGUUUGACUGGGGCGGUCGCCUCCUAAAAGGUAACGGAGGCGCUCAAAGGUUCCCUCAGAAUGGUUGGAAAUCAUUCAUAGAGUGUAAAGGCAUAAGGGAGCUUGACUGCGAGACCUACAAGUCGAGCAGGGUCGAAAGACGGACUUAGUGAUCCGGUGGUUCCGCAUGGAAGGGCCAUCGCUCAACGGAUAAAAGCUACCCCGGGGAUAACAGGCUUAUCUCCCCCAAGAGUUCACAUCGACGGGGAGGUUUGGCACCUCGAUGUCGGCUCAUCGCAUCCUGGGGCUGUAGUCGGUCCCAAGGGUUGGGCUGUUCGCCCAUUAAAGCGGUACGCGAGCUGGGUUCAGAACGUCGUGAGACAGUUCGGUCCCUAUCCGUCGUGGGCGUAGGAAAUUUGAGAGGAGCUGUCCUUAGUACGAGAGGACCGGGAUGGACAUACCUCUGGUGUACCAGUUGUCGUGCCAACGGCAUAGCUGGGUAGCUAUGUGUGGACGGGAUAAGUGCUGAAAGCAUCUAAGCAUGAAGCCCCCCUCAAGAUGAGAUUUCCCAACUUCGGUUAUAAGAUCCCUCAAAGAUGAUGAGGUUAAUAGGUUCGAGGUGGAAGCAUGGUGACAUGUGGAGCUGACGAAUACUAA
rnacentral:rRNA from 1 species